AGGAAAGGGACUUGGCAACAACCUAAUAACGCAGCCGACAGAGAUGUUCACACGUCAAGACUGGUGACGACCUUACAGCUUUUGAUAUUCCAUCAGACAGGGUCGGAUGGAGUGUGUCGAUCGUCGCAAAUUUCUGGCGAUUUUUUUUCUAUUUUUACUGGGAAAAAAAUUGAAAGUGUUAAUGGUGAGGAUAGCAAAAUUUCUCACUUCCUCGUAAAUUACUUCCGGGUGCAGAUGGACUGACUGCUGCGUUUCACUCCCACGCCAUCCUGGUCCUACUCAUGAAAUAAUACAGAAGUGAGUGUAUUAAAGUGCAGCAUUUUAGAUUUUUUGUGAACACUCGGAAAUGUGAAUUGAACUACGAAGACGUGAAUGAGGAGAGACAAUUUUGCUCGCAAUUUGAUCGAUUUCGAGGAAAAUGUCGGUAGUUCCGCCAUUAGCAAACCGCCAUUAGUGAAGCCAUUAGAAGGAGGUUUGCAUGUUGGUCGGGAUCUACUACUCAAGCAGUUAAGCCACGUCCUGUGGUAAUAGGAGUUGGUUCGGUUCGAGCUUCAAAAGUGGUCGUUUUUUGCAAGAUUUUUCUGCACGAUGAAUCUUAGUUAUUACUUUUUCAUCGUGUGUGGAUUUCUACUGUCAUUUUCUGAAGGUAAUUACCAAAAUCAUUGAACCGAUUCGGUACAUUGAGCCAACGCCUAAAAGGUAGUUCAUAUUUUGAGCCGUGUUGAGUGGUUCGAAUUACUGGUAAAA
rnacentral:lncRNA from 1 species